rnacentral:rRNA from 1 species
GAUGAACGCUGGCGGCGUGCCUAAUACAUGCAAGUCGAGCGAACAGAUGAGGAGCUUGCUCCUCUGACGUUAGCGGCGGACGGGUGAGUAACACGUGGAUAACCUACCUAUAAGACUGGGAUAACUUCGGGAAACCGGAGCUAAUACCGGAUAAUAUAUUGAACCGCAUGGUUCAAUAGUGAAAGACGGUUUUGCUGUCACUUAUAGAUGGAUCCGCGCCGCAUUAGCUAGUUGGUAAGGUAACGGCUUACCAAGGCAACGAUGCGUAGCCGACCUGAGAGGGUGAUCGGCCACACUGGAACUGAGACACGAUCCAGACUCCUACGGGAGGCAGCAGUAGGGAAUCUUCCGCAAUGGGCGAAAGCUUGACGGAGCAACGCCGCGUGAGUGAUGAAGGUCUUCGGAUCGUAAAACUCUGUUAUUAGGGAAGAACAAAUGUGUAAGUAACUAUGCACGUCUUGACGGUACCUAAUCAGAAAGCCACGGCUAACUACGUG